ensembl:lncRNA
CAAUGGCUAACUUUGCUCACAGAACAUUUCACUUCAAGCAUCUCCACUACAGCUGGGAGGUUGAGAUGACCAGGAUUUCACCUCUUUCCUCACCAGAAUGAACUCUCCUAUUCUGAAUAUAAAAACGUUUAUGAACGGAGCCCGAAAGCUCUCCUAAGAAGCCGCCUCCACAUCCCGAAUGGGACGGGGGGAGAGAGGGGUUUCAUAAUGCUUCGAGAAGAAGACGAAGAGAGGAAAAGAAAAAAAAAAACCCUAAGCUUUAAUUUUAAUUCUCCUGCCUUUAUUUAUCUGAUUUGUGGCCAGAUGGUGGUGAAGCAAGGAAACCCUUUGUGCCCACGAAGCACACAUGUGAAAGUGCUUCUGUAAUGUAAUCAUUGAGACCGGAAGGGUUCAUACUGUGUCUGAAAAGAGACAAUGGAGCCGGGAUAUAUCAACAUCGCCGAAAUCGAGUUCAUUCGCGAUGCAGGCCCUUUGACUGCGGUUGUCA